GUGGCUCCCCCUGCCGGCCGGGGGGCGUCGCCGCUCCGGAAGUGGGGGACGGUCCUUCCCAACCUCGAUGAAACAGCCUCCACCCUCUUUGGGGCUCAUAAUGAUGGAGCUUGAAGGAUGAUCAGAUUCAACAAGAGAUGACCCUUCAGUUUCCUGCCUAGAGGGUGCAGAUCUGGUUGUAAACGUUCUUGGAGCUGAAUGGAGGAAAAGGACUCAGGAUCUAAUGUGCACUUUGCACAGUGCAGAGACCCAAAAACACCUGUUCUUUGUCAGGUAAAGUUAUCCGACAGCCAGCAAGAGGAAGCAACUGGAGGUUGUGCUUCACUAAAAUGAGAGACUAAACAAAGAAAAAAGGAGACAUGGGAUAUAAGAAACAGAAGAUCUAACACAGGGGAAAAAUGAAGUAUGAUGCCCUGACAACAACUGUGCACUCGACAUCAAUUGGUGUAGGUCAGAAGGCUCCAGAAGAGACUCCUUCAGAAAGGUGAAACUGAUAGAACACCUCAUCUAUCUAAAUCUCUGGAGGGAGAGAUUUAAACAAUCAUUAAGAAGUUUGGGUUUGACUUAGUGGUGAAGAAUAAGCCAAAAUAAGAUAAUCAUUAACUGCAGGAAAAACAGAAAGCUGAGCAGAAGAGAAGGAAUCAUAGUAUACUACUUUUGCCCAACAUGUUGAGUAAUGUUUACCUGGUAAUGAUGAAGUAAACACAAAUCUUUUUUUUUUAAGUACUAGAUUGGACAGGUAAAGGGAUGGGAAGUGUGGUGGGGGUGGCGGAAGGGUUGGGAGAAGGAAGAAGAGCUAAAUCUUCAUUUUCCAUUAAGUGAAGUCAAUAGGUAAUGCCUAAAAGUGAAAAAUCAAGAAAUAGCAAUACAAACAUUUUAUAUGGAGAAAUGAAGGUAAAUACCAAAAUAACCAGUUGAAAGAGAUGAAAUGACUGCCUUUGAGGGGAGGGAACAAGGUAAGGGAAAGACUGGAGUCACAGUCUCUGCUGAUUCAUUGUAAAACUUAACAAGCCUUCUACAGAAUUAUUUGAUCCUAAAUCACAGGCAUGUAUAACUCUGAUAAAAAUAAAAAAUAAAAUUAAAGGAGUAAAAAGA